AAUAGAUACCCUGGUAGUCCACGCCGUAAACGAUGAGUGCUAAGUGUUAGAGGGUUUCCGCCCUUUAGUGCUGCAGCUAACGCAUUAAGCACGUCCGCCUGGGGAGUACGGUCGCAAGACUGAAACUCAAAGGAAUUGACGGGGGCCCGCACAAGCGGUGGAGCAUGUGGUUUAAUUCGAAGCAACGCGAAGAACCUUACCAGGUCUUGACAUCCUCUGACAACUCUAGAGAUAGAGCGUUCCCCUUCGGGGGACAGAGUGACAGGUGGUGCAUGGUUGUCGUCAGCUCGUGUCGUGAGAUGUUGGGUUAAGUCCCGCAACGAGCGCAACCCUUGAUCUUAGUUGCCAGCAUUUAGUUGGGCACUCUAAGGUGACUGCCGGUGACAAACCGGAGGAAGGUGGGGAUGACGUCAAAUCAUCAUGCCCCUUAUGACCUGGGCUACACACGUGCUACAAUGGAUGGUACAAAGGGCUGCAAGACGCGAGGUCAAGCCAAUCCCAUAAAACCAUUCUCGAGUUCGGAUUG
rnacentral:rRNA from 1 species